GAAACUAACCAGACAGUCGCUGCUUAAACAUAUUUUUAUGUGUUGCAAACCAUAUAAAUAAAGGAGAGGAAAGUCCGGGCUCCAUAGGGCAGAGUGCCAGGUAAUACCUGGGAGGUGUAAACCUACGACUAGUGCAACAGAAAAUAAACCGCCGAUAAUUAUGUAUGAUACUAUUGUAGUAUACAUAUGAGAUUAGGUAAGGGUGAAAUGGUGUGGUAAGGGCACACCGCACGGCUGGUAACAGAUCGUGGCUCGGUAAACUCCACUCGGAGCAAGACCAAAUAGGGGGAUAUAGUAUUGCCCGUACUAAUACUCGGGUAGGUCGCUUGAGCCAGUAAGUAAUUACUGGCCUAGAUGAAUGACUGUCCAUGACAGAACCCGGCUUAUAGGUUAGUUUCAAUA
rnacentral:RNase_P_RNA from 1 species